rnacentral:rRNA from 1 species
UACAGAGGGUGCAAGCGUUAAUCGGAAUCACUGGGCGUAAAGCGCGCGUAGGUGGUUCGUUAAGUUGGAUGUGAAAGCCCCGGGCUCAACCUGGGAACUGCAUUCAAAACUGACGAGCUAGAGUAUGGUAGAGGGUGGUGGAAUUUCCUGUGUAGCGGUGAAAUGCGUAGAUAUAGGAAGGAACACCAGUGGCGAAGGCGACCACCUGGACUGAUACUGACACUGAGGUGCGAAAGCGUGGGGAGCAAACAGG